UACAGAGGAUGCAAGCGUUAUCCGGAAUUAUUGGGCGUAAAGCGUCCGCAGGUGGCACCUCAAGUCUGCUGUCAAAGACCGGGGCUUAACCCCAGAAAGGCAGUGGAAACUGAACAGCUAGAGUAUGGUAGGGGCAGAGGGAAUUCCUGGUGUAGCGGUGAAAUGCGUAGAGAUCAGGAAGAACAUCGGUGGCGAAGGCGCUCUGCUGGACCAUAACUGACACUCAGGGACGAAAGCUAGGGGAGCGAAUGGG
rnacentral:rRNA from 1 species